rnacentral:rRNA from 1 species
CACAGGUGCUGCAUGGCUGUCGUCAGCUCGUGUCGUGAGAUGUUGGGUUAGGUCCCGCAACGAGCGCAACCCCUGCAUUUAGUUGCCAGCAUUCAGUUGGGCACUCUAGAUGGACUGCCGGUGUUAAACCGGAGGAAGGUGGGGAUGACGUCAAGUCCUCAUGGGCCUUAUGCCUAGGGCUACACACGUGCUACCAUGGUGGUCACAGAGUGAAGCGAAGCCGCAAGGUGGAGCAAAUCGCUUAAAAGCCAUCUAAGUUCAGAUUGAUCUCUGCAACUCGAGAUCAUGAAGUUGGAAUCGCUAGUAAUCGCGGAUCAGAAUGCCGCGGUGAAUACGUUCCCGGGCCUUGUACACACCGCCCGUCACACCAUGAAAGUCGGCUGUACCAGAAGUCGCUGC